GUGGCUCUGUAGUAAGAUGGA
rnacentral:miRNA from 1 species